CCUUUAACCAGUGGUUUGCCAUACAGUUUAGAUAUACUGUACACCAGAAAGCUCUAGUUUAUCAUGAGUUCUGCCAGAAGGUGGCGCUCUUAUUUCAGUUAUUUCAAAACAGAGAGCACAGAUAUAAACUGAGUCAGUUAGGAGGAAACUGCAAGUCUUGGCUCUAAUUCUCUUGAUGAUGUUGCUCCUGGUCCUCAUGAUAUUUUCUCUUUUUAAUGAGAAUGCUGAUGCAGAUGUGAUAACCUCAUUAUCCACAGAGCAGCAUGUUUUAGCAAAAGAUAAUGUAACACUGUCCUGCAGCUACAGUGGCACUGUCCGCAGUUUGCAGUGGUACCGUCAGUAUCCCGGAUCCAAACCGGAGUUUCUGAUUAUGCACAGUGAGACCAAGUCAGAGUCCAAGCUUUGUCUGUAUGCUGUGGCCGAUAAAGGAAUCAAGCGGAUGAAUCUGACAAUAUCUUCUACACAUGUGGAUGAUUCUGCUUUGUACUACUGUGCCCUGGAGCCCACAGUGACAGGAAACACUGUCUGUGCUGUACAAGAACCUGAUGUAUCAGCAACAAACAUUAAUAUGCUGUUCUUAUCAAGAGGUCGUCUCAUAAUGAUGAUUGAUAUUUCAGAUCAUUAGGACAUAGCAUAAUUACUCAUUUUAAAUGGUUUUAAAAUCUAAAA